rnacentral:rRNA from 1 species
UACGAAGGGGGCUAGCGUUGCUCGGAAUUACUGGGCGUAAAGGGCGCGUAGGCGGCUUGCACAGUCAGGCGUGAAAUUCCUGGGCUCAACCUGGGGACUGCGCUUGAGACGUGUGGGCUUGAGUGGGGAAGAGGGUCGUGGAAUUCCCAGUGUAGAGGUGAAAUUCGUAGAUAUUGGGAAGAACACCGGUGGCGAAGGCGGCGACCUGGUCCUUGACUGACGCUGAGGCGCGAAAGCGUGGGGAGCGAACAGG